rnacentral:rRNA from 1 species
CCUACGGGAGGCAGCAGUGGGGAAUAUUGCACAAUGGGGGAAACCCUGAUGCAGCGACGCCGCGUGAGUGAAGAAGUAUUUCGGUAUGUAAAGCUCUAUCAGCAGGGAAGAAAAUGACGGUAACUGAUUAAGAAACCCCCGCUAACUACGUGCCAGCAGCCGCGGUAAUACGUAGGGGGCAAGCGUUAUCCGGAUUUACUGGGUGUAAAGGGAGCGUAGACGGCAGCACAAGUCUGGAGUGAAAUGCCGGGGCUUAACCCCGGAACUGCUUUGGAAACUGUGCAGCGAGAGGGCAGGAGAGGUAAGUGGAAUUCCUAGUGUAGCGGUGAAAUGCGUAGAUAUUAGGAGGAACACCAGUGGCGAAGGCGGCUUACUGGACUGUAACUGACGUUGAGGCUCGAAAGCGUGGGGAGCAAACAGGAUUAGAUACCCCAGUAGUC